rnacentral:rRNA from 1 species
GGCUCAGGAUGAACGCUAGCGGCAGGCUUAAUACAUGCAAGUCGUGGGGCAGCAUGAGUAGCAAUACUUGAUGGCGACCGGCAAACGGGUGAGGAACACGUACACAACCUUCCUUCAAGCGGGGAAUAGCCCAGAGAAAUUUGGAUUAAUACCCCAUAAUAUAUUUGAUAAGGCAUCUUAUUAAUAUUAAAGCUUCGGCACUUGAUGAUGGGUGUGCGGCUGAUUAGAUAGUUGGCGGGGUAACGGCCCACCAAGUCUACGAUCAGUAGCUGAUGUGAGAGCAUGAUCAGCCACACGGGCACUGAGACACGGGCCCGACUCCUACGGGAGGCAGCAGUAAGGAUAUUGGACAAUGGACGAAAGUCUGAUCCAGCCAUGCCCGCGUGAAGGAUUAAGGUCCUCUGGAUUGUAAACUUCUUUUAUAUGGGACGAAAAAGGGCAUUCUUGUUCACUUGACGGUACCAUAUGAAUAAGCACCGGCUAACUCCGUG